rnacentral:lncRNA from 1 species
UUUUUUUUUUUUUUUUUUUGCAUGAGUGUCCCAUUUGCUGUUGACUUAUCUCUAAUUAUGGCCGAAUUGUCCCCAAAAAUAUUUUGCAUCAAAAUCAUACCAUGAAGUUCACGCUAAGGGCCCUGUUAUAGAGACAUUUGAGAAAGAAUCUGGUCCUACACAUAAUCAAAUUCAAAGGUAGCAUUUUGCAUGCUAAACGUUGUCUAGGAUAAGAUGGAUCAUAGUUUGAGAUUUCAAGAGUUGGAAGUCUUAGAUUUCAAUUUCUCUUCCUCCUUUUAGUUUUAGUCUUUUAGAUCCCACCCCCUUUCCUGAGUAAAAUUUAAAAAAAAAAAAAAAGGAAUGAUUUCAGAAACCUCUCCUGAGGUUUCUAAUAAUUUCACUUAGCUCUUUUAAGGUUUUAAAAAUUACACCUAUGUCCCUUGCCCAUUUAAUAUGACAAUACUAAUCUUAAUAUUUUAAUAAAACUCCAUGGUUGCCAUGUUUAUACAAAGGAUGGAUUUUAUAAUUUUUUUUCUUUUUCCUUCUUAUUCAUUUCUCUAAUAUUUCAUUAGAAUUAUAGAAGAACUAUCAAUGUUAUCCCUAAUAUCUAUCUAGAUCAAACGUUAAACGAGUAAUUUUUUUUGAUAACUUUGAAUAUCAUCCAAGUUUUAGUAGCUCUUUUUUUUUUGUAUCAAAAUGAAGAAUAAUUAAAAACAAAUGGCCCAAAAUCACUACCAAACUAUGGUAGUUCAAUCACUAAACUAGUCCAUAAACUUUUAUUUAAAAAAAUAGUCCAUAAACUUAAAAAAAAAAAUUAGCACUUUUUUCUCUAUCUUAAAAAGAAUCUAUAUCCCUAAUAAAGCACUAUAAACAAUAGCCUAUUAUACCAAAAGAUUUAUUGUCAUAGUUGAUCAUCAAUUAACUAUUGGCAUGAAAAACUUGAGACUCUUUGUCUUUUAUAAUUAAACCAAAUUACUUUACAAUUGUUUAGAAGAAUAAAUUAAACUUUAUAAGAUAACGGCGUUUUAGGGUAUUCAUUAAAAUUUUGACUCUAUUUUAAGGUUUGGUUACCAAAGUAUCAAAUCAAGGGAGGUAAAUGUAAUUUUUAAAACUUUAAGAGAACUAAAUGAAAUAGUCAAAAAUCUCAGGGGAAGUUUUUGAAAUUAUCCCCAAAAAAAUGGAUCAUGGUUCAAUAAAAAAAAAAAGGAUGGUCAUAUUUUCUAUUAAGAGGACCUGUAUUGUCUCAGGAUGGUGGAAUAAUUUUGACCCACUUGUGAUCAACGACUAAUUUAACUAUCGACUAAUUUGUCUAUGCUCGAAAUUAAUUUCAAUUAUGCCAAUUAUUUGCUAAGUUGGGUUGGAUUCAUCAAUAUUAUUAGUUUUUCAAGAGGGCGAAACCAUGUAAAUCGAAUCUAUGACAGAAUAAUUCACGGGAGAGACAACGAUUUGGAAACAAAAUAGCUCUUAAAAUCUCUUUUUAUUCUUUGUUGUCGAAUGUUCCACCGUUACUUGUUGCAUUAUGCUGGCCCUAUCCAAUAAAUUUAGUAUAUCAUCAUUUACGUGCUGUUUCACGCCCUUUGCCUGUAAUAAUUUAUAAAAGACAUUAUUAUCAUGUGGAGAUCAUAGGAGCAGGAAAUACCAAGACUAGUUAGGUACUAACACCAAAUUAUUAAGGUAACGUGAUCAUUUGAAUUGCCUUCAUGUUCUAAUGGGACACUAUGACCAAUCCUAUCAAGUGAUUUUAAUGUCUUAUCCUUCUGAUUUGCUUUUUUUUCCUAUGGCGCAAAUUGCCAUGAUAUGAAGUAGAAGGAUCUUGGAGUAAAGCCCUAAGGUAAACAACUAGAAGAGCAAGAAAAAUGCAGAUCAGAAAUGAACCAAAUAUAUCUUAGGAUGGUUUUUUUUUCCGCAACGAUAGAAUUCCUAUAGUUUAAUAUAACCGAAUCUAGCGAGAAGGGCAAGGGAGGACUGAUGUGAUAAUCUAGGGAGAGGGGGAGGGGGAGGGAGACUGAUGUGAGUAGAGACUCCAUCAAUUAAGGCCAAUUAAGGCCGCCACAUAUAGUGACAACACCACCAAGACUGACGGUGACCACCAAGCCAAAGGCCUAGUGGCAUCUUAGGAUGGCUAAAAUGGACUAUUUAAAAAUCGUAGCUGACAACUUGUACUGGAAGAUCACUAUAUAAGCCAGGCAAAUGUGUGAAAACAUGGUACAGAAAGGGAGAAAAAAAAAGAAGGAAGAAGCCUAUUAGCUGAAAAUACAGUUACAGAGAAACCGACGGGAAUUGAAUAUACGGAUGCAAGAGACACCUCCGUGAAUCUAAGAGAAGCCACAUUAAGUGGCAAUUUUUUGAUAAGAGUCAAGAUUUGAACCUUUGACCUCCAACCCUAUAAAAAACAUGUGAAGGUCAAUCAUUCUAGAAAUAGUUGGUUACAAAGGUUAUCAUAGUUGGUAAAGUGUUUCCCUUGCUAAUGCACCCUUGUAUUUGUUCUUGUGUCCCAGUUAACCUUGUUAACUUAUAAUUCACUUAAAGAUUAAAGAAAAAAGAAUGCAUUAGAUCUUUUGAGUGUCUAAUGGGCUAUAUGGCCACCUCCAAAGCAGUUGCCAUUGUUUUACUAUUAAGAGGAAAUUUGAGUUAAUUAUCUACUGAUACAAUUUUGCAUGUCUUGUGCUUGUAAGUAGACUUCUUUGUUCUAUAUAAAAUACCAGAAUGGGAGAAGGAAAACUACCUGCCAUUGCAUGACUGAAAGCUGAAAAGCAGAAAGUAGAUAAGAAUGGGAGAUAUUUCUUAAGAAUCAAGUGUACAAAGUUGUGAGCUAGACGCUAUCCAACAUGCACAUUGACAGUAUAUUAUGAAGAACAAAUCUGGAGAGAAGGGUAGUGAAGACAAAGCACCAAUAAUAAAGAGGAGGAGAAGAAGAAGGUUCAUUAUGAGAAAACUACUAGGAGCCAAAAAAGAAAAAAAGACAGAAGAUGCAGAUGAUGGCAAAUCGGAAGCUUCAUUAUGAGCUUGUCUUGAUGUAAUGGGGACCGAUAAGAAGAAAUUAAGGAUUUAAGAAUACCCAACCCACACGCCUAAUAGUUCAAAUCACCAUGGACCAUCAGAGGGGCUAGAAUUUUCUAGUGAUGAGGAAAGAAAUGACCUUUGUUGGCCUUUUCUCAAAGAGUUUGAUGAGAAUCUUAAAAAGUUUGUGUCCAAAAUAGAUUAGUAAACCAAUCAAAAUUUAGUUAGUCACCGAAGUUUGGAAGCUUCUCCUCCAUCAACUUCCAAAGUUGCCGCCACGGCACUUGCUCCUGCUAACAUAUUGUACGAUAUGGCACACCACCGCCAUAGCCCCCACCAUCCACCAUUUGUUUCUGUUUACCUCAUCAACAAUGUUGACACUAGUGAAAAUGACUAGAAGUAAAAUGGAGAACAAAAUUUUACUUGCAACCAAACUUAAAUGCAUGUGGGUUCUUGAUCAUGGGACUGAAGGGUCUACGAGUUGCCUAUUCAUUCAACCAUUUUGCUUCCCAAAUUUGACUAAACCUUACCACCUAUCAACAUAUAUAGUGGACCAUUAUGCUACUUGUAAUCAUGAACAUAUCCAUCUUAUCUAUGGUGCUUUGAUGCAAUUCACUCCUCAAACCUCAAUUGUUUCAAGGGAAUCAACUUUGUGGCCCACCAGACACUCAAUAAGUCAGUUAAUUAUCUGUGUAGUGUGGCAUCAACCACCACCAAAAAUGUGCUCCAAACCUUAGAGCAGAGUAUGAUUGUAGCUUGAUAAUGGAGGUGAAGUCUGGUCACAUGGAAUAGAGGGCUUGAUGGAGAAAUUAUUGUACUUCUUUAACCUACAUAUGUUAGUAGUAAUUAUUUAAGACUGAGAUAAUAGGAGGUGAAGUUUGUUUAUUAGUCCCUCCUCCAUACAACCAAAUAUUUAGAAUUGUUCAUACCUAGAAACUGAGAUCCAACUAGUAUAUAUCAGCAGCUCCAGAUUUGGAGAUGGCACACACUCUGUGAUUUGCUAUUGCUACAUUAAUAGGCUGAGUUUGUAUAACAGGGGUGGAUUUUCUUUUUUUACAUGUAUACGUUUGGGAGGAUUGGGAGAAAACUGUAUCAAAACAGCAGUAGACAUAAAACCAUAGAACAGCAGAGGAAAAAACAUAUUCUGCUGAGAGAUUUGUCAGCCUGCAUCACUUGCCUUCUCAUCCUCGGAGUGCUACCACCUGACAGAUGAA